ensembl:lncRNA
GCAUUGUGGGAAAACAGUCAAUAAGGGAUUCAAUUGAUAUCUACCAUCUGGGCUCAGAAAUCACCCAUUUCAGCUCCUCUCACCUGGAGACCAUCAGAGGCUCCAUUCUUCUGAGCUCUUUGCUGAUGGUAACUCUGACUUCCCAGCUAGUGUGGUUGGAAAUCAAAUCUCUUAUCUACUCAUCUGGUCCUGUCUGUUUACAUCUAAUUCCAACUCCCUGAUGAGCGCUGGGAUAGGGAGGACAUGACACUGCUUUGGGGAAGUUCAAGUCUAACAGACUUGUACACACCUCAUAAAAUGCAGCAACACAUGCACACUGUAAUAAAAAGAGAAUGUCAUAAAUGUCUGUUGAACAAGAACUGGAAGCAUCAGGUGAUGGAUGGUGAAUUAGGGAAAACCUUACAGAAGAGAGGACACAUAAGCUAUGUUUUUCCAGAAAGGCAGGGAUCUUGCCAGGUGGGGUGCCAACUGGAAAGAACAUUCUGGGCAAAGGCACCGAGUUAAUUCUGGAUAUAACCUUUGAUUCUGGGUCAUGGGGACUCUGCAGAGCAGCCCACACUCUCCCCUGCUCCCUGAAGACCACAUGUUGUCCUCUCGGCGUUAGGUCUGCAGGCAUCAGACACAAGGCCAGCUGGCUUAUGUGGAAAUCACAGCCCUGACUAAGGCCCGGAUCACAGGCUCUUGUAAUCCUCUGAGCUAAUUGGGCACUAUUUCUAUAUUUGUGUCCUCUCACAUCUUUGUAUGAUGAUUCAGAGGUUUUCUGAAUAAUCUCAUAUUGGCAGGGGCAUCUGUGAAAUGACUCCCCUAAAAAUCUUCUAAAGAUAGGACUUAUUCCUUGUUGGGGAUGUUUUUGACUGAUCUACUGGGUGGAAGGUGUUGAGAGGGUAUCAGGUCACUGGCAACAUUUGCUGUCUGACUCUAGGAUCAAAUCCAGAGUUGGCCCACUGACCCUCAGCUUGGAGUAAUUGGUUUGGAAGGAUUAAAAUCCUGGCCAAGGUCCUAGAAGCUCCAGCAGGCUGUGUUUGAAAGUUCCUCCAUUUCCCAUACAGCAAAAGAAGAGGUUACUGUGGCGCUGAAAUCAGAAUAGCUGGUCCCUCCAGCUUUUUCUCGGGGACCAAGAGGCUUCAAUGAGCAGCCAGUAGCAAUGGGCAGACAGCACACUGCAGCUAAAUGAGGAUGCUCUGUCUCAGCUGUCACAUCAAUGGGGAAGACAACAGGCUCCAAGUUGCCAAGUCCUAAGCUUUCAGCUGGUAAAGAAUCUGCCCACCAACUGUAGGAGACACAAGACGAGGGCUCAAUCCCUGGGUCGGGAAGAUCCCCUGGAGAAAGAAACGGCAACCUGUUCCAGUAUUCAUGUAUCAUCCCAUGGACAGAGGAACCUGGUGGGCUACAGUCCAUGGGACUGCAAAGAGUCAGACAUGACUGAGUGACUGAGAAUGUCCCCGUGUGCAUUUCAUUGUUGUCUCCAGUGGUGAGAACUAUACUAAGAAAUGUCUGUGAUGGUUUCCACUUUAAAAGAGUUCAAUGCCUUCUCAUGACUCCCCUUUCAUUUUGAAACAAGGUGGUUUGUUUGUGUGGCUAAAUCACCUGAAUAAAGAACCCUGAUGAGUCUCCUUGGAAAACAGCUCUGUAU